AUUGAACGCUGGCGGCAUGCCUUACACAUGCAAGUCGAACGGCAGCAUAGGAGCUUGCUCCUGAUGGCGGGUGGCGAACGGGUGAGUAAUAUAUCGGAACGUGCCCUAGAGUGGGGGAUAACUAGUCGAAAGACUAGCUAAUACCGCAUACGAUCUACGGAUGAAAGUGGGGGAUCGCAAGACCUCAUGCUACUGGCGCGGCCGAUAUCUGAUUAGCUAGUUGGUGGGGUAAAAGCCUACCAAGGCAAAGAUCAGUAGCUGGUCUGAGAGGACGACCAGCCACACUGGGACUGAGACACGGCCCAGACUCCUACGGGAGGCAGCAGUGGGGAAUUUUGGACAAUGGGGGCAACCCUGAUCCAGCAAUGCCGCGUGAGUGAAGAAGGCCUUCGGGUUGUAAAGCUCUUUUGUCAGGGAAGAAACGGUAGUAGCGAAUAACUACUACUAAUGACGGUACCUGAAGAAUAAGCACCGGCUAACUACGUGCCAGCCGCCGCCGUAAAAC
rnacentral:rRNA from 1 species